AUAUAUAUUACCCCUACACAUUGAUCUGGUUCUCCCAGUAAAUAUAUAUUGCCCCUACACAUUGAUCUGGUUCUCCCUGUAUAUAUAUAUUACCCCUACACAUUGAUCUGGUACUCCUUGUAUAUAUAUAUUUAUACACUGCAUCUACUCCUCUGAUACAGCAAUGUGCUCUAAUGCCUCCUCCUUCUCUGAUGCAGCAACGUGCUCUAAUGCCUCCUCCUCCUCCUUCUCUGAUACAGCAGCGUGCUCUAAUGCCUCCUCCUCCUCUGAUACAGCAGCGUGCUCUAAUGCCUCCUCCUUCUCCUUCUCUGAUACAGCAACGUGCUCUAAUGCCUCCUCCUCUGAUACAGCAAAGUGCUCUAAUCUACUUCUCUGAUGCAGCAACAUGCUCUAAUGCCUCCUCCUCCUCCUCUGAUACAGCAACGUGCUCUAAUGUCUCCUCCUCCUCCUCUGAUACAGCAGCGUGCUCUAAUGCCUCCUCCUCCUCCUCUGAUACAGCAACGUGCUCUAAUGCCUCCUCCUCCUCCUCUGAUGCAGCAACGUGCUCUAAUGCCUCCUCCUCCUCCUCUGAUACAGCAACGUGCUCUAAUGCCUCCUCCUCCUCUUAUACAGCAAAGUGCUCUAAUGCCUCCUCCUCCUCUGAUGCAGCAACGUGCUCUAAUGCCUCCUCCUCCUCUGAUGCAGCAAAGUGCUCUAAUGCCUCCUCCUCUGAUGCAGCAACGUGCUCUAAUGCCUCCUCCUCCUCCUCUGAUACAGCAACGUGCUCUAAUGCCUCCUCCUUCUCCUCCUCUGAUGCAGCAGCGUGCUCUAAUGUCUCCUCCUUCUACUCCUCUGAUGCAGCAACGUGCUCUAAUGCCUCCUCCUCCUCCUCUGAUACAGCAACGUGCUCUAAUGCCUCCUCCUCCUCUGAUGCAGCAACGUGCUCUAAUGCCUUCUCCUUCUACUCCUCUGAUGCAGCAACGUGCUCUAAUGCCUUCUCCUUCUACUCCUCUGAUGCAGCAACGUGCUCUAAUGCCUCCUCCUCCUCCUCCUCUGAUACAGCAAUGUGCUCUAAUGCCUCCUCCUCUGAUAUAGCAAUGUGCUCUAAUGUCUCCUCCUUCAACUCCUCUGAUGCAGCAACGUGCUCUAAUGCCUCC
rnacentral:lncRNA from 1 species